ensembl:lncRNA
CUUUGAACUUUACCAAGGAUUCCAUUUGAUAAGCCAUAUUCUACUUUUUUUGUCAGUUGGUGGACUGAGAGUAUUGAACCAAAUAGAUCCAAGGAAAGAACCCUGAAUGGAACCACUGGAAAUGUUCUCCAGACUAACUAGAAGCUGACAGUGAGCGUCCACUGUUUUCACCAUCAGAAAAAGAAAAACAAGCAUUAAAAAUAAACAAAGCACACAUCCCCUUCCUUGGAGGAAAGAAGAUAAUCCCCUGGCUUCUGAGAGCUCACGUAUCACCUGGCAGAUUAAAUAUGAGAAUUGUAUUACCUGAAUGGAGAAAGAAGGUAACUGAACUGUACAAACUCAUUUAGAAGUGUAUGGAUUCUGUGUUGCAAUAUAUAUUGA